CCCUUAGAUGUUCUGGGCUGCACGCGCGCUACACUGAUACUUUCAGCGAGUCCACCACCUUGCCUGGGAGGGUGGGGUAACCUCUGGAAAGUGCAUCGUGAUGGGGAUCGAUUAUUGUAAUUAUUAAUCUUCAACGAGGAAUUCCUAGUAAGCAUGUGUCAUCAGCCCGUGCUGAUUACGUCCCUGCCCUUUGUACACACCGCCCGUCGCUCCUACCGAUUGAGUGGUCCGGUGAGGCUUUGGGAUCUGAGCGGAAAGAGCGUUUCGCUGUUUCUGCUCGGAAAACUCAGUCGAACCUUAUCAUUUAGAGGAAGGAGAAGUCGUAACA
rnacentral:rRNA from 1 species